rnacentral:rRNA from 1 species
UACGUAGGGGGCAAGCGUUGUCCGGAAUUAUUGGGCGUAAAGAGCUCGUAGGCGGCUUGUCGCGUCGGAUGUGAAAGCCCGGGGCUUAACUCCGGGUCUGCAUUCGAUACGGGCAGGCUAGAGUUCGGUAGGGGAGACUGGAAUUCCUGGUGUAGCGGUGAAAUGCGCAGAUAUCAGGAGGAACACCGAUGGCGAAGGCAGCUCGCUGGGACGGUACUGACGCUGAGGCGCGAAAGCGUGGGGAGCAAACAGG